AAGACCUUGCACUUUUGGAGCGGCCGAUGUCUGAUUAGCUAGUUGGUGGGGUAAUGGCCUACCAAAGCUUCGAUCAGUAGCUGGUCUGAGAGGACGGCCAGCCACACUGGGACUGAGACACGGCCCAGACUCCUACGGGAGGCAGCAGUGGGGAAUUUUGGACAAUGGGCGCAAGCCUGAUCCAGCAAUGCCGCGUGAGUGAAGAAGGCCUUCGGGUUGUAAAGCUCUUUCAGUCGAGAAGAAAAAGCUGCAGUGAAUAACUGUAGUUCAUGACGGUAUCGACAGAAGAAGCACCGGCUAACUACGUGCCAGCAGCCGCGGUAAUACGUAGGGUGCGAGCGUUAAUCGGAAUUACUGGGCGUAAAGGGUGCGCAGGCGGCUUUGUAAGUCAGAUGUGAAAUCCCCGGGCUUAACCUGGGAAUU
rnacentral:rRNA from 1 species